rnacentral:lncRNA from 1 species
GUGCACAAAUGCAAGAUGCUGUACUGUCCUGAUGUCUGUGACCCCACACGGUGGUGAAAAUAUUUGAUGCAAAGAGAGUUCUCAGCUGUGCAAAUCUAAGUUUACAUCAGAGGUCACUUCCAAGCCCAGUCGUAUUUCAUGGGUUUUGCAGGCAUUUCUACUUUGGAAAGUUAAAACUACAUGGUGCGUAGGAACCAGUAGAAGCAAAUGUUAUAUGUUUUCAUUCUUUCCCACCUGCCAAGAUGUUUCCCUGAUGACUGCAGCCAAGAAAACCAUUACAGAUGAAGAUUAGAUUAAAAUAAAUUGAUUUAAAGUCUACA